CCUACGGGUGGCAGCAGUGAGGAAUAUUGGUCAAUGGGCGCGAGCCUGAACCAGCCAAGUAGCGUGAAGGAUGACUGCCCUAAGGGUUGUAAACUUCUUUUAUAAAGGAAUAAAGUGAGGCACGGGUGCCUUGUUGUAUGUACUUUAUGAAUAAGGAUCGGCUAACCCCGUGCCAGCAGCCGCGGUAAUACGGAGGAUCGGAGCGUUAUCCGGAUUUAUUGGGUUUAAAGGGAGCGUAGCUGGGUUGGUAAGAACGUUGUGAAAGUUGGCGGCUCAACCGUAAAAUUGCAAUUGAUACUGGCAUCCUUGAUUUCAGUUGAGGUAGGCGGAAUUCGUGGUGUAGCGGUGAAAUGCUUAGAUAUCACG
rnacentral:rRNA from 1 species